rnacentral:rRNA from 1 species
AGAACGAACGCUGGCGGCAUGCCUAACACAUGCAAGUCGAACGCUUUUGGGGCUUCGGUCCCAAAGGAGUGGCGCACGGGUGAGUAGCGCGUGGGAACCUGCCCUGGAGUGGGGGAUAACCGAGGGAAACUUCGGCUAAUACCGCAUACGCCGGGAAACCGGGAAAGAUUUAUCGCUCUAGGAGGGGCCCGCGUCGGAUUAGGUAGUUGGUGGGGUAACGGCCUACCAAGCCUGUGAUCCGUAGCUGGUCUGAGAGGAUGAUCAGCCACACUGGGACUGAGACACGGCCCAGACUCCUACGGGAGGCAGCAGUGGGGAAUAUUGGACAAUGGCGCAAGCCUGAUCCAGCAAUGCCGCGUGAGUGAUGAAGGCCUUCGGGUUGUAAAGCUCUUUCGCACGCGAGGAUGAUGACGCUAGCGUGAGAAGAAGCCCCGGCUAACUUCGUGCCAGCAGCCGC